rnacentral:rRNA from 1 species
AGACCGCGAGGUAGAGCAAAUACUCAAAAAAACAAUCUCAGUUCAGACUGCAGGCUGCAACUCGCCUGCACGAAGUCGGAAUUGCUAGUAAUCGUAGGUCAGCAUACUACGGUGAAUACGUUCCCGGGCCUUGUACACACCGCCCGUCAAACCAUGAGAGUUGGCAACACCCGAAGUCGGUAGUCUAACCGCAAGGAGGACGCCGCCGAAGGUGGGGUUGAUGAUUAGGGUUAAGUCGUAACAAGGUACC